UUUUUAAGGCUGAUUGUAUUAUGAAGUUUUGUCCAGAUAACAAUAAGGAAAUAUCUUGCUUGCUUGCCAGUCAUUUAUUUAUUUACCUUAUUAUUAGAUGAUUUAAUUCAAAUUUUUGGCUUUGCUUCGGUUAAUGUCGUGCAAUUACAUUAAACACUGUCUACCAUUCGUAUAAAAGAUUUACUAGCUUUUCAUUUAGAUUGUAAAUUGUACAUCAACACUUUGGUUUCAACGGACAUUAAUGCAAAGCCAUUUUCAACAUCAUCUGUUUAGUCUAUAUCACAUCCAAACGAUGAUGGCAGCUACAUGAUGUUUUGAUCACAUAAAGCGGUAACCUGAUCAGAUGAGUUCGAUUAAGGUUGGAUUACUGAUAAAAAUGAAAAACAAACCAAUCAUGAUUUUGAAGCUGGUAAUUGAAUAAUUAUCCACACAAAUAAUGAUAAUGGCUUGAAGAAGUCAAACAGGCGAUGUCAAUAGGAAAAAAAGCAAAAGAGAUUCAAGAUUUUUUAGGAUAUAAAGAGAGAGUGAAAGAGUGUCAACAAUUCAAUUUAACCUGGUUUUGAUGGUUUCUCCAAUCAACUGUCAAAGUGCCCUUUACAUGAUCGAUCCUGUUUUUGUCGCUUUCAUUUCAACUUUCAUUGGAUUACCAAUUUUUAUGGGGAAACAUCUAAUAUCCAAACAAGGCGUCAUUAGUGUUUUAUUUGAUAAACAUCUAACUGUGAUCAGUAAACGUUGGUUGACGGUUUCAGGGUGAUCCUCAUUUGAAACGCUAAUGGUAAAUCAAAUCAGUUUUGCAAUCGAUUGGUCAGUCAAGCAAAAGCAACAGGAAUUAGGGAAAUGACUGUAUAGACCAAUAAGAAGACCCUACUGGCCAAGUAAUCAACAAAUAAUCAACUCUUUUAGGUCAAAUUAGUCAGGUCAAUGUCCUCCUUACAUGUUGACAACUCUAAGUUGAUUACAAUUUAAUAUAUUAAUAAGUAUCUCUUUUUUUGCUGCAGUUGUCUAUUCUUCCAAUUUGCUGUUGUAUUGAUGUACCAGGCAUUGGUUUUUUGGGUUCAGAAUGGAAGAGAAACAUGACAACACGAAAAUGAUGGUAAUGGUGAUGACAGUGUGAGAUGAUUCAAGAUGAAGUGAAACUACCAGAUUGAAUUUAUGAACCAAAAGAGAUUGAUAAUGAAGAGCCAAAAUAAUCAACAACGAAUUCUGGAGACAAUUAAAUUUGUAAAUUGAAGCCUUGAAUGAUACAGAAAUAAGUCUUGAAAUUGAACGCAAUCAAUGGAUCUGGGUUGACCAGUAACUCAAGCUAAUACAAAACAGCAUGAGUACAGUCCUGAUUUGUUUUACAUCCUCAGCAUACUCUUCAUUUGGCUCUUCACUUUGCUCUUCAUCUUACUCUUGAUAGUAUUUUUAAAGGUAAAAUUUGGUACAAUUUACUCUUGGAAUGGAAUAAAAGGUUUAAAGGUUAAUUCAUAAUGGAUGCAACUUGUUGAGAAUAAUGAAAAAGAAAUGAGAAUUGAUGGCGAACAAGAAAAAGUAAAAUUUCUCUUCUUGAGAAUGGAUCAAUUGAAGAAGGCUUAAAGUAUCUCAAAUGAGCAGACAAGAAAGAAGUGAUCUCUAAAAAUUAGAUGAACUGUUAAUAAUAAUGGAAGCUGAUGAUUUAAAAUGGUUAAAAUAAUAAUCACAAUAAUACCAAUAAUGAUUCAAGAUAAUCACCUUUUUAUUUAUAUCGUCCAUCUAUUGCAAUCUAUUGGUUCAUUGAUUGACGGAAAAAGGUUGAUCUUUCAACGGAAUGACCUUUAUCUUUUAUCUUUCUUUCAUUCCAAGAUUCAUUAGAUGAUUAUUCCUGAGUUGAAUCACUUUUCACUUUUAUUUGUUUGAUUAUAAUUAUAAUGAUAAUUUUCACCUAUCACCUGACUGAUAGCAAUGAACAAAAUUAGAUUUGAAAACAGUACUGGCUUGAUAACUUAUAAUCAAAUGUUACUUCCUUGUCUUUACAUUUGUUUUGCAUUUUAUUUACCUAUUGACUUAUAUCUUUUGUACCAACUGAUUGAAAACCGACUCUUGUAUUACAACAAUUAAACAUCCGAAGUCCAUUUUCAA